rnacentral:rRNA from 1 species
AUUGAACGCUGGCGGCAUGCCUUACACAUGCAAGUCGAACGGCAGCACGGGGCAACCUGGUGGCGAGUGGCGAACGGGUGAGUAAUGCAUCGGAACGUACCUUUCAGUGGGGGAUAACGUAGCGAAAGUUACGCUAAUACCGCAUAUUCUGUGAGCAGGAAAGCAGGGGAUCGCAAGACCUUGCGCUGAUUGAGCGGCCGAUGUCAGAUUAGCUAGUUGGUGAGGUAAAGGCUCACCAAGGCGACGAUCGGUAGCGGGUCUGAGAGGAUGAUCCGCCACACUGGAACGGGGACACGGUCCAGACUCCUACGGGAGGCAGCAGUGGGUAAUUUUGGACAAUGGGGGCAACCCUGAUCCAGCCAUGCCGCGUGAGUGAAGAAGGCCUUCGGGUUGUAAAGCUCUUUCGGCCGGGAAGAAAUCGCACGGGCUAAUACCCUGUGUGGAUGACGGUACCGGAAUAAGAAGCACCGGCUAACUACGUGCCAGCCGCCGCCGUAAUAC